AAAAAGAUCAUGACACAACAUUUUUACAUCUCUCUCUCGUUCUCAGAGAAAGGAAAUGGCGCCACGAAUGUCUCUCUGGAAAACCCUGAAAUUCAAGUUCGAAUAUGAGUAAUUGAAUGAAGAAAAUGGAAAACAAAAACUAAAACAGAAUACCCUCUCUAGCACAAAGAGGGCCAUACAAGAAGGAGGGAUAGAGUUCAGCCACCAGUUAAAGACCUGGUUCUUAUAGGCAAAACUAGCUAGAGAAUGUACAACGUCAUUUGCACUUUUCUUGUUAAGUCUGAAGCAGACCCUGUUGAAGAGCUUCACUUUAUCCUUUACCUGCAGUAUCAUAUGUCUCACUCGGUCUCCACGGAUAAGAAUCUACCUCAUUGUUUAAUAUUUUGAUCACCUUUUCUCCAUGGUUUUCAAGGAUGAUGUCCUUCCACUCCAUUUUCUCAGCUAAUUCAAAGGCUAAGGUAAUAGCUUAGGUUUCAGCCUCCAAACGGGAGUUACAGUUAUUUAUACAAGUGCCACCACCGUCAAAGUUUGCCGUAAAAUUUCUUGCCACCCAAGCACAAGCACCCGUAUUGGAGUAGUAAACGAGUUUUGGAUAUCCGGUCUAUCUUCAUAGUCAGGCACGCUGUAGCUGUACCAGUAAUGUGUCUCAAGAAUGAUUCUCUGAAUAGAAGGGUUGUUGUUGUUGAAAAUCGUAUCAUUUCUGGCCUUCCAAAUGGCCCACAUGGCACAACUCCCUAAUCUGAAAGCAUUGUAGUCUCCUUUUUCUUGUAACCAGCUAGUCAUUAUUUGCUUGACAGAGGCAUUUUCAUUAACUUGCAGACCCAAGAAUACAGCUCUGGCCACGUCACAAUGGAGGAGAAGGUGAUCACUUGAUUCAACAUCACUACUACAAAAUCUACAUUCUUGAUCAAUUCCUAUGACAAACUUGCCCAUUCUGUGUUGAGUACUGCAGUGCCAUCAUUGAGGACUCUCCAAAUGAUGAAUUUUUGGUGCCAGAUUUUUGACUUUCCAAACAUUCUUUGAUUCUUGUUAAUAAAGCAUCAUAUAGAGUUUCUAUCAUUUGCCAUCUUUUCUGUGUGCAUCGUUCUUUCAGGAGCUGGUGACCUGCUAGAUAGUCAGCGUUGUUUGUCUGUUAAUGUGCAACACUUGGAGCUGAAAACAUAGCAUUCAGAAAACUGCCGUCAUUCAAUAGCAGACUUACUGACAAACCCCGCUCAUGCAAGCUCUUUGCAUGGUAAUAAAGACAUCUAAUGCUGUCAAUCGUUUUGAUAUGCUUGAUAUUAUUCCCAAUACACAUGACACCAUCAUAGCAAACAUGCUAAAUUAGUAUAUCUAGCUGUGAGCAACCAAGGGGUUUGGGAAUGACUCUUCUAGAAGCAUCAAAAGAAGAAUCAGAAGUGGGGUACUACAUGAGAAAAGUAGAAGAAAGCUUCUAGAAAAGAAGAGCUUCUAGAAAAAGAGGACCGAGGGUUGUUCAUAUAAAUACAUGGAAAACAAUUAAACUUUUGUUCAUGUUUUUGUUUGUUUUCUCUUUUUUAAGUAAUGGAGUGAUGGAAUGAGACCA